CAGAGGCAGGAGGAUCUCUGGAGGGAGAGGGGCAGACAGACGGUGUCACCCCGCAGUCACCUCGGGCUUGGCUUGGGGCCACCGGGAGCUGGGCCCCACCACUGUCACCCCGAUUAGGUUUCUCCCAUAAAGCGACCAGUGUUCCUGCUCGCCAGGCCCACAAUGGAGUCGGGAAAAGGACACGGGCGGCAUGGGGGGCAGGUCCCCGCCCGCCCCGCC